GAGGCCAAGCGCGGCAGGCCGGGGCAGGGGGAAGCGCUGGCGAUCUGCGCUCAGCCUUUGUACCCCCAUGGGUGAGGGGCACACCGAGAUCAUCACUCCUCCUACAGCCUGGGGCUGAGGCCUCACAGCAACCUCAUGCUUGAAAUGUUUUAGACAUGGAUAAUCACACCUAAAUGUGAAGCAAUACUUGUGACUUCUUAGGAAUAAAUAAUGCCUUGUAAUGGAAGGAAUGAAGACAAUGUGUGCCAGGAACUGACAUUAAACAUCAGUUUUAUGAUUUCCUGAGUGGGUGAUUUCUGACUUCAUACAAGAUGAUUCCAGUUGUCAUCUCUAAGUAUUGUCUUGGAAGUAGAAUUGAGACAAGCAAUGGCUUAAAUUAUGUGUUCAAUGAUGAUGUUGAAACAGGCAUCUUACCAUUUGUUGGAACAGGUUUCCUAACAAAAACUGCUGUAAUUUGACUGUUUGUGGAUUAAUUGAAAUAAAUUAUGAGUAUUAAUUAAAUGUAUGCUACUAAAAGUUUGUGUUCUGAAGUUUUCUUGUUAAGGUACUUUCUGUAUGAAGGCUUUGUUUCAUGGAUGUAAACACUUGUGCUGUCACACAGAAACAUUCUCUUGCCAUGUUCAGACUUGACAAGCUUAGUCUUGAAUUUACAAUUCCAUUGAAAAAACACUCUGAAUAUUUUAAAGUAUUUUGUAAUGUAAAAGCACUGAGAUCAAUCAGCUAAUUGUUAUUUCAUUACACUGUGUGUGUUCUGUACAAAAGCAUUGUCUCAAACUGUAAAGAACAAGUUACCAAGAAUCUCAUUCCUUGCCUAUUUUAAAUUAAGAAGGUAAAGGUUGCAAUAUUCCAUGUAAAGCACUAUAAGUGAGGAGGUCCUUGAAAAGCAAGAUUAUUGUUGAGCAACUGAAAAGUUAUAUAUGCUUUUCAGUCUUAAUUUUGUGCAUCCUGUUACUGCCAGUGCUUCUGUAGAAUGUACAAGCAAGGAUAUGAAAUAGUCAGAAAUGGCUGUCAGGUGCUCACUACUGCCUACUUAGGAGAGUGAGUUGGUGUGGAUUUAGGAACAAAAUGUAUGUGUGUAUUUGCCCAUAGAUGGUCAUAUUUAACUGCCAUCUAGACAGGAACUUCUUUUUUACCUUUGCUUAAACAUACACUAGAAGGGAUGAAAUUGCCUACUUGUGGCCUUUUAGGCUCAUCUAAGUCUGCUUGUUUUAAUAAGAGACAAAAUUAAAUUUAAAGGAUAUACAGAAGUACUUCAUGAUAUUAAACUUGACAAGUGUCAAUUUCUUCUUGUAAGAAACUAUAAUUUCUUAAAGUCUUGUCAGUUCUAUAGACAUUUGUCUUCUGUAGCCAUGCUUAAGGAUUAGUUUUCAGUCUGUUCAGUUGUGUUAUGGGGUUGUUCUAUGCCCUGUGCAAGAUUUCUGAUUUGCCUCUCUCAGGUUCAAUGUUAAUUGGUGAUGUCUAGUAAAGACUGAUUCCUGAAUGUUUACUCCUGUUUUCCUUAACCCGUAAACUUGUUUACCUUGAUAAUUUGGCAUGAUCUUUUCAGUGAGCUGUCUAUGCUUGCAGAAUUUCUGAAGGAGUCAGGAGUUAUCUUAGAAUUAGGGUUGGCAUUUUUCUUUCCAGAUUAAUUUAUCAUGCAAUAAAUGGCAUUAAAUUCCACAUGCUGCUCUGUCCACAAGGAUCUUGUCAGAAUCAAGGUCUGUUGGGAUCUGUAGCCAGGCUUUUUUUUUUUGUUUGUUUCAUUGCUAUCUAGUUUCCACUUUCCCCUCUCCCCCUUCCUUAAAAAGAGGUGUGUCUUAAGUUUCAAGAAGUUUAAUGUAAAAGUGUUCUAGGAUCUACCUCUUUCUAUUACUGACAACUAAAGUUUUGUGUCAGUAUGUCUGGUGCAGAAGAUAAAUUUUUCACAUUAGUGGCUUACACAGUAUAUUUGCACUAUGAUAUAAAAGCUUCCAAAUAGAAUCACUCUGAAAUACCCACAUGCCACUAAGUGACAAUGCUGCAUGCAAGGUCCAGCCUUUGCUGUUCUCUUUUUAUGAGACAUCUGGUUAGAGAGGCCACUCCAGACAUUAUCCACUAUUCUGAUAUCACACAGCAAAAUCGAAUAAAUUGAGUGGGUUUAGUACAUCUACAGAGAGAGAUCAAGAAUGAAAUAAAGUCUACUUGAAACUCCAUGGUGAACACCUAAAGUUUCAUCAAUCUUGUUCUUUAAAUAACUAGGCAAUUUUAAGGCAUUAUUCUGUAAAAACUGAUCUGCUUUAAUGUAAAAUCCAAGUAGAGAUUGUAUUUUUGACUUCUUUAAAGUAUCAAAUUAUUUCAUGUAUUUAUAAACCUUAUAUAUUUUUACAUAUGUGAUAUUUGUUAUCAUUAAGUUGGGGCCAUUGCUUUAUGCUGGAAGCUCAUUUUGAAGAAAACACUUGUUGGAGUAAGUCACUUUAGAGUACUCUUUUUCUGUGACUUCUCAUGAGUAUUUAUAAGAAAUCUCUCCUCAAUUAACUUUGGCUUGCUCCUAUUCCAUCUACAUGCUUUUGGGAGUAUAAAUAUGUCAGUUCAGGCAUCGCUCACCUGACUACAUUUGUGAUAGAUCACAUUAAAGUAGUGAAGCAAAACAAAGGGAUUAGUAUUAAUCUAGGUGUAUGAAGUGGGUCUAAAUCCAGUAACUUCAUUGUUGUAAAUGAGCUCAUUCACCCCGACCCCCACCUUGGGGGACUGCUUGGGGCUGUGCAGUUCACCAAGAAACCUGGUUUGUUUGAUGAAUGCUAUGCUCUAAAUGGAGUAAUAACAUUACAAUUAUCCCUUUUGUUACUUGUUGGACAAGUGAGGACUAAGAGAAGAAAAAUAGCCAGAUUUACCUGAGAAUUGUCAAGGGCUACCAAGUUGGCUUACAGCCUUGUUAUAGGCUAAAUGACAUGAAGCCAUAUAAAACAUGAAACCAUGUAUAAAACUCAGUGCCUUUAUACAUUUUUAUAUGUGUGCUUUGUACAACAGGGAUUUUAUGAGAGAUUUGGGGGCAAUAAAGAACCAGGAAAUAUAUAAUAUAGUUUUUAAUCUGUACACUUCUUUUUGUUCUGGCUAUUGAUAGCAAAUGUAGCUAUUGUAGCAAAUGUAGCUGCUUUGGGUUUUCUUUGACUAAAUCUGAUCUAAGGUUAAUCUGUUCAUCAAGAUGGAAGACUGUCAAACAAAAGGGGAAAUGUUUACAUGCCUAUGUGUUUAUUCCUGUUCUCACAGACAAUUGAAAAUCACGGUAUUUCCCAUUUUGCUUCCUUUUAGUAAUUGAUUAGUUACAAUUGAUGAGACACAAUAAUCAAAGGAAUAAAAAAAAACCCAACCUGAAUAAUGUCAUUGUGGAAUAAUGUGCAUAGCUUUGGACAGUUUUCCAUAUACAGAGCUACACAAAGCGAUAUUGUGUUAUGUUCUGUGCAAGGAUCUGGCAAGUCAUAAAAAUGUGCUUCUUUGAUUGAGUUGUUGUUGUUAUUUGUGUUUGGUUUUGGGUUUUUUUUUGUUAUGUUUUGUUUUCUUGGGAGACCACCUUAAAAGUCUGGUACUCUGCAAGAAUUUUAGUUCUGAGGAGCUUGUCAAUAUCACAGCUUGUCUGAUUUCUGCUUAGUAAUAGAAAUUUGUGACCUCAGGGUUUUGUAGUGCAUUGUUUUGAAUAAUUUGAAGUUUGGAUGCAGGUAUUAAUUCAUCCUAGAAUAAGCUUUAUGACUCUUUGUGGCCUUACAUUAGGAAAUCAGUCUAAGUGAUAUUCAGUGGUAAGUUCGGAGGUAAUACUCAAGUAACAAUGGCUACUGGCUGUCAUAGCUAUUAUUCUGAAUUGAUGGUUAGUUGACUGCAUCUUCUUUACUUUUCUUCAUAAUGUUACAGUUGUAUCCAAGAUCCUUCAGUUUGUGCAAAGAGGGUGAGAAUGUCAGCUGAAUGCACUUGAAUCGAAGAAACAAUGUGUAUGCAUCCCGUGCAUUCUGGUUCAGAUCAAUGCAGGCAGACAUUUCUUACCACAUUAGAGUCCUUUUUCUGCUUGUUACAUCUCAGAUCUAUAUAAACCACAUUUUCUUAAAACUUUCUGCUUUGGGUUUCAGAUGCAAGUCUCAUUGGAUUUUUCUACACAUCAAUACUUUUGCUUACCUUGGUAAAGUGGCUUGAAAUUUGUUGCUGCAGAGGAGGAGUUUUUCUGUUCAGUGGACUUUGAUUUAAAGCUCAGGGAUUUCCUCCUAUGCUUUGAUAAUUAAAUUCCACAGCUUUGACUCAAUGCAUAAAUAAUGAAUACUGUAAAACUGACAAUACUAAUACUUUUUCAGUUUAAAAAAGUAUAGAAGCUGUCAAAAAUGACUUGCCGUCUUCAGAUUGCACUGUAUGUGUUUAUUUUAAGACACAAAGUUAUUUAAUUGAUCACACAUUCUAAUAAAUGUAUUUCAACAAAUACUUUAUUAAAUGUACAAGCAGGGGUAACUGGAAAUAAGCAGAGGUCUAGAAACAGCAGUGUGCAUAAAACCAGGGAAAGAAAAAAUACUGGGAGUUCCUGCUUUUAGCAUUACCUGGGUUUGGAGAUGACAGGUCAUGCAGAGCUCUAAUUUAUUUAACAUGGUAGUAAACGAGGUCAUUUUAUUUCUUUCUCAGAAGUAUAUUGUGCACUAAAGCAGAAAUGGUAUGUGGCCUAUGAAUCAGCGUGCUUUUCAGACUUUCUACUUCUAAGCAAAGACUCCCAGCUCAGAAAAUGAAAGAAAAUCGAUAGCUCUGCAGAAAAAAAAUUCUUAGCAAGCUACUCAAAGAGAUUGCCAACUGUAAUGUUCUCAGGAUUUUAGUAAUGGAUCCUAUUAGGAUCAUCACUUCAGGAUUUUGUUCCUCUGAAGUGUAAACAGAACGUACACACAACAUACUUCACUGGUAAACUGACUAGAAGAAAUAAAAGCCAACUACAGCAUAGAGAAGGAUGCAGUUUGUUUCCAGAAAUAAUGUGUUCUCUUCCACCUACCCAGACUGAAGGUACUGAUUUCAGGUCAAGUAUGCCACAAGCUUUUUGGAGUUGCUGGUAUGCCCUGACAUACCAUGACUUUUUUCUACAUAUUUCUGUAAUUAAGUUAGCUUAUGCAUUAAAUACUGUGUAGUUCACAAUUUUAUGAACUCUUUUCUUGAACUUCUUGCUCAUUUUCUUUGGAAAUUGCUAGGGAAAAGAAAGCAUCCAAAGAAUUCAUCAUAAAGCCUUGAGAAUUUGAGUGUGUGUAUUUAUGCUGUUAGAGAGGGGCUGAUGGUCUUCCUUUUUGACUAGAAUUAUGACAACUGGAUGCAGAUUCAGUUAUCAGAUGAGAGCUCUCCAUAUUUGGAUAGAGUUUAGGUAUGAAAUAAAACAGUGAAGAAAAAUUGUGAAUAUAUUAUUCACCCUCCUGAAUGUACCAUGUAUCUCAAACUGCUUCACAACACUCAAUUAUUGUGCUGCUGGCACUUCAGGAACUGUAAGCAGAACCAGCAGUUGUUAUGAAGUUAGUAACAGCUCCCUGACCCUUGGAUAGAACCUGAUUUAUGAGGAAGAAAAUAUAGAUAGGGAAUGUCCAUUGUUUAGUGGUGUGGGGUUUUUAAGAAAAUUGUAUUUUCUUAUUAAAUGAAGAUGUCAUUCAUUCCAUGUAAACUGUAACAUGAUGGAAGAGCUGUUCUCUCAAUUAUAAUUUGAAAAGGCUGCUAGAAUCUAACUUAAAAUCUUAAAAAAAAUAAGGUAUGCACACUUAGUUGGAGGUCACUAGGAUCUGUAAGAGAACUAGCACAAAUGCAGAGCAGAUCUUCAGUCACUUUCACUAAAAUUCAAUUAAAUCCUGCUUGUUUACUUCAGCAGAGUC
rnacentral:lncRNA from 1 species